CAGACUUACUACAUGGUGACCGGCUCAUAAAGGAAACUGGAAACCACUAGCCCCUUCCAGGCUGGGCGCUGAUCUGCCGUGGUAUUCCUUCUGCCACAUUCUCUCGGUCAAAGCAAGUCAGCUCUGGAAGGGGGAUGUGGUUUCUAUGUGUUGGGAGGAAAGGAAUAUUAAUGACAGUUACCAUAUCUCCCUUGGUGAAAAAAGGCCCAGGGAAGAGGAUGCAUAACGUAGGUUUGGACCAGUGACCAGAUUGACGGCCCGGGGCUGCAAACUCUGGUGUUUCUCCUCAGUGCACCACCCUGUUCUCAGAUGCUGUUCUUUUCUUUGGAAACAUCCCUAAGGGGGCCUGAAUUAUCCAGGAGACAGCUAGUGGGAGCAGAAGGGGCUUCAGCUGAUGCUCAAGUAGAUCUCUUGAGUAUUUUAUCUCCCUCCCAUUACUGAAAAUGUUCUUCCCUGGGUUUUAAAAGGGACUCUUGAAACUAUUUGCAAUUGGCUUUUUUUUUUUUUUUUUUUUUUUUUUUUUUUGGAUAAAAAGUCUAUGGCUUUCAUCUAGGUCUCAGAGAGGUGCCUAAUGUCCAAAAGGUGAAGAACCUUCACUCACCUUCCCACCUUCAGCUCAGUAAAGUGGGUGUGAUGCCUGUCUCCCAGCCCCCCUCCAUCCUACCCAUUCAUUCAUAUGCUUUCAACUGAACCGUGUGCUAGUGCUGCAGUGCCGGCCCUCGUGAAUGUCACUCUAGCGGGACGACAGACAAUGCACAGCCAAGCUAAAUGCUGAUCGGAUUUUGGCUAGUGAUCAGUUUGCGAGGAAAGACACAACAGAGCAAGUUCAUGGAGAACAGGAGACAGCGGUAUAUUUUAGGUGAGUGGUCAGGGAGGGUUGCUCAGUGGAGGUGAUUUCGUUGCAGGGCUUUGCAGAGACCUGUGGGAAGUGGUCCAAGCAGUGGGAACAGCAUGUUCAAAGUUCCUGAGGCAGUAAUGAGUUUGUCCUGUUUGAAAAACGCAUAAUGUAUAUGAACAAGGGGAGGGUGGGAAGUCCUGGGCAUUGAAGUCAGGAAGGAACCAGGUCAUGUAGGAUUUUAUAGGCUAUGGUAAAGGAUUUGAAUUUUAAGUAUGAUGAGAAACAAUCAGAGGAUUUUAAUUUUUUUUUAAUGUUUAUUUUUGAGAGAGAGAGAGACACAGAGUGCAAGCGGGGGAGGGGCAGAGAGAGAGGGAGACACAGAAUCUGAAACUGGCUAGAGCUGUCAGCACAGAGCUGGAGGUAGGGCUUGAACUCAAGAACCUCAGGAUUAUGACCUGAGCCGAAGUUGGUCGCUUAACCGACUGAGCCACCCAGGCACCCGCCUCCCCUGCCCCUUUUUUUCCAAUGUUGAUCAGAGGAUUUUGAGCCAGGAAGUGCUUAUUAUUUCUCAGCUUUGCCAUCCUAGCUACUUCCAUGCUUUCUCUGGGACUUUGGGCAAGUUAUUUAUCUACCUCAUUACCUCACUUUCUGCAUCUGUUACUUGGAAAUAAUAAUGACGCUGAUCUCAAGUUUGUUUAAAGAGGAUUAAUACUCAUAAAGAGUGGAGUAUUAAAUAGUGCCUGGCCCCUCGUAUUUAUUCAAUCAGUAUUACCUAUUAUUUUAAUCCUCUGACCCCUAUAAUGUUUAAUCUGCUCAUGGCUGCACUUUUCUCCCUUUUUCUUCCUACAAACCCCCAGGCAUCCAGCCUCAAAGGAGUCAGAGCAGCCUGUCCACACAGCAGACAUGGAAGGAGACCCCUGGGUGUCCGGCUCCUGGCUGCUCUGUGGAAUGCUCUAGAUAGCCAGUGGGGGUUUUCUCACUUUCCCUUUCUUUUUCUUUAAAUUGGGGGGCAAGUAGAAAGUGUACAAAGCCUAGAAAUCUCCCCUCCCUGGCAUUCAGGAUUCACAUUCAAAUACUUUUGUUGACAAGAGGCUCAGCACUGGGGUACUUGGGCAGUUCAGUCAGUUAAGCGUCCAACUUUGGCUCAGGUCAUGAUCUCACGGUUCGUGAGUUCGAGCAAUACACCAAGCUCUCUGCUGUCAGUACAGAGCCUGCUUCAGAUCCUCUGUCCCCCUUUCUCUGCCCCUCUCCCACUCACGCUCACUCUCUCUCUCUAAAAAAUAAACAUUAAAAAAAAAAAAAAAAGAGCUCAGCACUUGGGGAUAAGUUAGGUUCCAAAUGACAAGGUGGUUCUUAAGUCCUUUGUCCUUCUGUCUGAUGUGGCCAUAACAGUUUGGCUGUCUGCCUGGGCACGCUCACUCCCAUUGUCAGGCGUGGGUGGGGCACUGUGCUUCUGGCCAGCACCCCCUCCAUUUCCCUUGGUCAGCAUCUUGUGGGGCAGGAGUUCCUCUGUGGCGGGCAGCUCCAGGGUCUGCUCCCUGCAUGAGUGAAAGGUGUCUUUUCCUGCCUGAGCCUGAUGACUGCCCUGGCCCGUAACGAGCGUUGUCAGCAAGGCUGUGGCUGGCUGCCCUCUCUGACAGCCGGCACAUCCCAGCCUUCUUGUGUGACACAGACGCUGAGCCCUGGCUGGACUCCAGCAUUUCUGCUUACAGUAGGAGAGAGGGGACUUCCUGGUGUUGAAACACCUGGGGCUCCCACUGGGUGGAGAUGAUGGGCAGAGGAAUAUUUCUGUGCAUCAGGGAAGCUCUUUUUCCCUACUUCACUGUUCCAAGAAGGGACAUGCCUGCCUAGAUGCCAUGAUGUUGUUUCAACAGACUCUAGUGACAGGAGUAUCACUUCCUUUUUCAAAUCCGCCCCCCCCCCUUCUGCUCAAGUCUGAGGGCUGUUUCUCUUAUAACUUGAAUUAUACUAAGCACAACAUUUCAUUUAGUUGUGUUAGAGAUUUAGGAAUCCCAUCUUUAUCAAGUUGCUUAAUUCAAGCUAUGCUACAAAAAUGAAAAAGCAUGGAUUUUCUAAAUAUUUAACCAUAAAACCUGGCCAGGGGAAGAGUGGCCUGAUGCCACAGUCAUGCCCUCAACUUGAAAUCGGCUGGGUUUGGGCCAGUUUAGGUCCAAGAUGGCAUGAUGGACCAAGUCAGGGUUUUAGAACUAUCUGACGCCUAAAAUAAACUGCAUAUACUCAGACCAUCCUGACCCUUGCAAUGUGCUCCCUUACACCCUGUGGGCAUCUGGGGUUCGUAAUGCCCUUUGGUGGGGGUAAGUUGCUGCUGCCUUUCUGCAUCUUAACCAUUGAAUUUAGAACCAUGGUAUUCUCAGGGCUGAGGUGUCCCAUAGCUGCAUGCAAAAAUCCUCUGGGAGCUUUAGAAAAAUAAGAACUCCUGGGCUCACUCAGGAGAUUCCUGCUCAACAGGGAUGAGGUGAGACCCAGGAACUUGCAAUUAAAUUUGUGAUUAAAACAAAACAACCCCCCCUAGCUCUGGUCCCAGAAGAAGAAGGAAGGCCACCUCAAAGGCAGCAGGAUAUAACCACCCAGGGAGAACUGUGCCCAAAAGAAGGGGAGAAACAAGGAGGAAAGAAGAGGAGAGAGAAGGAAAGCCAUGACUUGGACACCGCACCAGCAACAAACGUGGACAGCGUGUGUGCUAGUUCACCUGGGGACCCUGUUGUAGUUGUUGAGACAUGCUCUAGUCUUGAGUAUGCAGCUUUGCCGUAGGUCUUAAAACCGGGGAGUGUAGACCCUGUGCAUUUCCGCAGAGAUUUUAGAAUCAGGUUGUGAAAUUCUACAACAAAAAAAUUCCCAAGCGAUGCUGAGGCUCAGCUAAGUGAGAACCCCUGCCCACCCAACCCUGAGAUUCUGUGAUUGCAGAUUCCUUCCCACUUCAGAUGUAUUUGUACAGCUGUCUGUAUCUCCGUGUUCUCUAGGUUGUACUUUUCAGAAAUGCAGAGCCGUUUUCGCUGUUUAGCCCGAUUCCGGGGCUGCUUGCGUGGUCACGUGGGGACUCAUUGUCCCCUCUGUGGUGUAAGCAACACAGCCCUCCUCGUAGGCGCAGAGGCCUUCUUUCGUUCCAGCCCAAACCACAACAGCUUCCGGGUCACCAUUUGCUCCGAGUAGAAUCAUUCCCGCGAAGACCUGGUUUCCCUUCAGGUGUCGUCAGAACAAGUCCGGUUUUCUGUAGGUUGACUCCUCAUCCCAGAGCACACCUGCGGCCCUCCACGGCCUUCCCCCUCCCCUCUGCCGCCCUUGCCCUUGCACCUCAGCCUUUCUGCGGGGAGCAGGAGCAGCCGCUUCCUCCAGGCAGCCCCAUUCUCAUGGGCGCGCAGUGUGACGGUCUACCGGCUUUGCCGGACGCAUGUCGGCGUUUGGAAGGAUUUUUGUAGAAAUCCCGUCUUGAUGGCGUCCGGGAAGGAGGUCGCGUUGUUGCCGGCUGUGGCCUGCAGGUGCACCCAGGCUUCCCGGGAGAUCGGAUGCCCCCUCAGCCGGACUUGGCGCCUGCGCCGUGUGUCCCCGUUAGGGAUGAGCACCCGCGCCCUCGCUCUGUCUCGCUGGCACCCAGUUCUGCCUGGUUGACGAGAGGGCGCCGUGGAGCUGCCCGUUUAAUGGACGGGGUGGAUGAGGUAGGAGGGGUCAGUGGCUUUUGUGCACGGCCGGGGUCCCGGGCACAGCCUCUGACACCCGGGGUCACUGUCUGUCCCCCGGCCUCUGGCAGUGUAACAAGACCCCACCACGCUGCCAGGCACACCUAAGGGCCCUCAUGCUUGCAGUUUACUUUCUCGUGGCCGCCGGCCUCCCUUCAGGCCUCCCUGACAGGAGGCAGAGACAGCCUGUCAGGGGAGCCAGACACACGUUCUUAGCAGCUCGAGGAUUAGGGCGGAUUUUCUUCGGCAGGUCUUUGUUGCAGUGAAGUCGAAAUUGGCUUUUAGUAAGAUGGACUCUAGAGGAGAAGCAGCGGCCUUCCCUCCUCGGGUCCCUCUCCGUCUUCGGGGGGAAGGCUGUGGCCCUGCCUGAGGCCACACGGGCGCAUCAGGACUGGAGCCUGGGGCAGGUUCCCGGACCCGAGGCAGCACCCGUGGGGCCGCGCUGUCCGUUCCUGCGUGAGCCUCACGCCUUAACCACAAGGGCAGCAACUCUGGGCUCUUUGGGAGAACGCGGUUCAAAUGGUCAUUCUCUGAAUUGGAAACACAUGUUGAGUUCAGAAAGCCAUCCACUGCCAGGAGUGAUCUUUCCAGAAUGAGCAAAAUGCUGUCCAGUCUGUGUUACAGCUUUGUAACAAAUGCGUAUACAUUGAAAACACCUGGCAUGAGAUGGGGGCGCAGGGGAUAGGGGAAAUGACUGCACCCAGGGCAGCAUUGCCGUGAGGUGACAGGUUGUCUCGGAGCAAUCAGUUGCCCCCAGCCAGGCAUGGGUGUGCUCGCCAUGGAGAUUGGGGGGGGGGGAGGGGGAGGCGGGGAUAUUUGGCCCAAGGGAAAUAUUUGUUCAUUCUUUUCCUUCUGCCUUCCAGUGCGUGUGGUAAACCUGAGUGUUGAGGGAGUGAUGGACAUAAAAGAACCUUCACCAUCUCUGUGUACCAGCAUUACCCUAUUUGGCCCCAGAAUGACAAUGAUUUUUGGCAGAAUUAGGAUGCCUAAGGUAAUGGCUGGUAAGGUGUGGCCCAUGAUGCCUGCCCUCCUUCCAGCCUUCAUUCAUUCACCACACCCUUAAAUGUCGGCAGUGUUGUGUACCAGGCCCUGUGCCAAACCCUGGGGACAAAAGAUCAUUAAAAUGUGUCCUCAACUGCUCAUCAUCCAGCAUGACAGAAACAAUAGUAAAAAAUUGAAAGAGCCCUCCAAGGCUCAAAGGGCCUCAAGGUUCAGAGGCAGGAUUAUUCAAGCUCUAUUGGGCUAAUCCACGAUGGCUUUCCUGAGCAGGUGGUCUCUGAACCGGGACUGAAGUGAGGGGUGCUGGAAGAGGCUGUUUUAGGCAGCGUAAACACUGAAAGCAAAGGCGUGUGGCCAGGGAAGCUCAGAGGAGGGCUGGGCACCAGUGAGGACACUGAGGGUGCAGGAGGAGGUGGAGCAGGUGGCGGGGACUCAGGAUGUCAGAGGAGAUUUGAUUGGAUUUUAUAAGCAUUGGAAGACGAUUGCAGAUUUUUGAGGAGUGAGGGAGGGAGGGAGGGAGGGAGGGUGAAUGAAUAUGACAGCGCCUGGGUGGGAGGGUCCGGGAGAACAGCGGUGGCUUUCAGAGGAAGAGCAGUGGUUUGGAGGGUGCGGUAGGAACAGGUAAGAAAAUAAGGACCAGUGUGAGGGGCUUGUACUUUGCCGACUGCAGUCCAUUGAGGAUGGAGGGGACGUGUUUACUUUUAAAUUUUGGAUGGAGACCCAUACACUUGGACUAAAGGGCAGGAGCCGUGGGGGCAAGGAAAGAGGCCUGAGGGAGUGGAUGGGGCAGCCCCCAGAGGAAAGACAGGCCGGCUGGAAGGAAGGGCUCUGAGCCAGGGGCUCCCUGUGAGGAGGAGGGAAGG